AACGAACGCUGGCGGCAUGCCUAACGCAUGCAAGUCGAACGAGACCUUCGGGUCUAGUGGCGCACGGGUGCGUAACGCGUGGGAACCUGCCCUUAGGUUCGGAAUAACUCCCCGAAAGGGGUGCUAAUACCGGAUAAUGUCUUCGGACCAAAGAUUUAUCGCCUUUGGAUGGGCCCGCGUUGGAUUAGCUAGUUGGUAGGGUAAAAGCCUACCAAGGCGACGAUCCAUAGCUGGUCUGAGAGGAUGAUCAGCCACACUGGGACUGAGACACGGCCCAGACUCCUACGGGAGGCAGCAGUGGGGAAUAUUGGACAAUGGGCGAAAGCCUGAUCCAGCAAUGCCGCGUGAGUGAUAAAGGCCUUAGGGUUGUAAAGCUCUUUUACCCGGGAUGAUAAUGACAGUACCGGGAGAAUAAGCUCCGGCUAACUCCGUG
rnacentral:rRNA from 1 species